GUCCGCAUAGUUUACGGUAGGUUUAGAACACAUGCCUUUCACGCAUGUAAAUCGGGUUCGACCCCCGAUGUGGACG
rnacentral:tRNA from 1 species